AUUGAACGCUGGCGGCAGGCCUAACACAUGCAAGUCGAGCGAGCGGCGGACGGGUGAGUAAUGUCUGGGAACCUGCCUGAUUGAUGUGGAUAACUACUGGAAACGGUCGCUAAUACCGCAUACCAUCAGAUGUGCCCAGAUGGGAUUAGCUGGUAGGUGGGGUAACGGCUCACCUAGGCGACGAUCCCUAGCUGGUCUGAGAGGAUGACCAGCCACACUGGAAAGGGGACACGGUCAAGACUCCUACGGGAGGCAGAAGUGGGGAAUAUUGCACAAUGGGCGAAAGCCUGACGCAGACAUGCGGCGUGUGUGAAGAAGGCCUUGGGGUUGUAAAGCACGUUCAGCGGGGAGGCGUUACCCGCAGAAGAAGCACCGGCUAACUCCGUGCCAGCAGCGGCGGUAAUU
rnacentral:rRNA from 1 species